rnacentral:rRNA from 1 species
GUCCAUCUUCUCUGAAUUUUGGAAGCUAAGCAGGGUCAGAUCUUGUUGGUACUUGGAUGGUAAACCACCAAAGAAUACUAGAUUUUGGGCU